UGUCUGUCUCAGUGUGUGUGUAUGUCUGUGUACAUAUAUAUAUACAUACAUACAUACACACACACACACACACUCACACACACAUACAC
rnacentral:miRNA from 1 species